GUCUUCUUUUAUUUACAUUUUUCCCCAGUGUCAGAUUUAUUGUUUUUCUUGCUACUCUUUGCGAAUAUUAUUUUAUUCUGCUGAUUAAUAUCGUUCAUUGCUGUAAAAUGAGUAUAAUCAUAAUGCAUGCUCAUUGAUUUUUGGCAUAAGUGGCUAACAGAACACAAGCCUGUAUGAAUGUUAGAUCCCAGGCAGGCUUGCGGGUAUAUUCG
rnacentral:misc_RNA from 1 species